GUGAGGAAUAUUGGUCAAUGGGCGAGAGCCUGAACCAGCCAAGUCGCGUGAAGGAAGAAGGAUCUAUGGUUCGUAAACUUCUUUUGCAGGGGAAUAAAGUGCGGGACGUGUCCUGUUUUGUAUGUACCCUGAGAAUAAGGAUCGGCUAACUCCGUGCCAGCAGCCGCGGUAAUACGGAGGAUCCGAGCGUUAUCCGGAUUUAUUGGGUUUAACGGGUGCGUAGGUGGUUUGAUAAGUCAGCGGUGAAAGUUUGCAGCUUAACUGUAAAAAUGCCGUUGAAACUGUCGGACUUGAGUGUAAAUGAGGUAGGCGGAAUGCGUGGUGUAGCGGUGAAAUGCAUAGAUAUCACGCAGAACUCCGAUUGCGAAGGCAGCUUACUAAGCUACAACUGACACUGAAGCACGAAAGCGUGGGGAUCAAACAGGAUUAGAUACCCCAGUAGUCC
rnacentral:rRNA from 1 species